UCGGAUUGAGGUAGUAGGUUGUAUAGUUGAGAAUUACACCUAGACUGGCGAACUGUACAACCUUCUAGCUUUCCCUGA
rfam:Lottia gigantea unplaced genomic scaffold LOTGIsca_16, whole genome shotgun sequence.